UAUAAAGAUCAGCAAAUGAAAACGCAAAGUUUAUCACCUAAGAAUAUUACAAAAUAAAAAAAUAAAACAAUUAUGUUAAAUGCAAAAUUUAAGUAGCUUUCUGAAAAGUGUCUUCCUGUGUACCGUGAAAAGAAUCUUUUUUUUUCCAACUUCCGUAAUCAUUCACAUGAUACUGCAAAAAAUACGAGGCUCAUCUCCCUCAUCAGAGCCUUUCAAGUUAUUACAAGCCUUUUGUCCUCAUCCAAUCUUCUUGGAAACUAUCUUUCAAUUUUGGAAUCCACCCCGCUAAUGAUUCAACCAUUUUACUACCGCCCCUCCUGCUCUCCGUCCCCUCCCUUCUCUAAACGCACGAUGGUGUUGCCUCAUCAGGAGUGGCGCUUGUCUCGCCUCGGCGCUGAGUCGACGCGGGUCACGCCAGUCCACGGCCAGCGGGAUUAAGAACCAUGGGAGGAAUUACGGUUGAAAUGUCAGCAUAAUGUCAUGAGGCAUGUUAAAAGGUCAAAUGUUCAAACGAUGCUCAGUGGUGAACAGUUAACAAAUCAGGUAGCAAGCACUUGGCUUGCUGGCUCUUGGAUCGAGCAAUAAGAUGAAUGAGGUGCAUGGACACAUCACCAAACAAAAAAGACCCUUCCACUUUUCUGUUGGCAUGGCACCUUCCCAAAAUAAGGCACACAUGAACUGCAAUUUAAGAAGCAUCACCUGAUGCCUUGCAUGUUUCUCAGUUCUAUUUGCUUGCUGCCACCUGUGCACCUCUACUAAUGCGAGCAUCAUCAAAAGCAGCUGACUCGCCAUUGUUUCAGUGCAUGUCAUGCUCUGUUUGUUGUGGGUGGAGAAAAAAAAUCAGCUAGACUAAUGCAUCUGGUCCGCAACAGUUUGAGUAGAGGAUUGUCAGGACACACCACGUUAUGCUCUGUGUAGUCUUUGUUUGUUGCACCAAGAGCUCAGACGCUUUGAGUGCUUUGAGACAAAGAUUCAAUUCAUUUCAAGAUCGCCCCAAACAAAACUAUAUUUUUCUGAAAAAAAAGAUAACGUUCUAAUAUUAAAAGAAGUUGAAUACUAUGAAGUGGUAAAGCCACAAACUAAUUUGCUUGUGUUUGUUGAAAAAUACAUUUGAAAAUGAACUUGGGGGGGGUCGUGGCUCUGCACAUUUAAUCACAAUUGUGAUAUGAGGGAGAAAAUAAAUCACAAUUAUUUUCCAGAAUUGUUCAUAACUACAGUAUUGUCUUUUGGUAUAUUAUCUGUCUACAUGUGUUGCUCUACCGUUUGUGUUCAAAUAUCUGUUGCUUAAACUAAUUCAUGACGUCAAUUGUCUUCUGCUAAAUUCCUCGAAGCCUUUUUCUGAUUAAUUCUUCACUAUUUCCCAAACUGCUGUGUUGAGUGCUGCUAUUCCAAGUAAGCAAAAACAAACAAAAAAAAUCAUCUGAUGUUGAAAAACCCAUUAGCUGGAGGACUCUUACGCACCACUGUAGACGUGAAUGUACGUCAUAGGUGAGACAACAAGCCCCACAAGGUCAGAAUCAAGAAGCACCCCACCCCCAAUCCUCCGCACUCCUCCAUUUGCUCUUCUUGUGAGUUGUUGCUUGAGGUGCAUAUGUCAGGAGGGUGGGCAAGCUUUUCUCACUUGGCUGCAGUGAUUCAAUGAUUAGAGUAGAAACAAGCAUAUCAAGCAUGGCUGACAUGCUCCCACCCCCAACACCCCCAAAGAUACCCACCACCAUGUCCUCCAGCAUGCUGCUGUCCCCCCUUGUGCACGAGGUGGCUUCCACAAGCCGCUGCCCUGGGAAUCCUCAUUAUCUUUCACCUCUGAGACACAGCGCACACUAAAUGAGGACAUCAAAUGACGCGGGCUCAUUAAGGGGCCGCGGAUCCGCUCGUUAGCAUCGGCACCUUCGUCCGUUCCAGCCUGUAUCGGCAUUGGCUCCCAGCGCGGCGUUGUGUCCUCUCAAAUCCUUAGCGCUGACUGGAAGACUUAGGAUUAAUGUCAACUCCCGCCAGCGGGUCAUCUGGGCUUUGGCGCCGAAGCUGCGGAAUUUGUUGACAGCUGCCCGCCAUCACCACCACUCGUGUCCAUUGCUCACGGCUUUUGUUUCCAACUGAUAGGCAAGACGCUGAGCCGAUAACGUGGGGGUGAAGUAAAUCACUGCUGGUCUCUUAUUGGUCAUCAUGUCACAAUUUGCAACAAGGCUAGAAAUGAGGACAAAUAAACACAUGAGCUAAUACGACUAAAUUGAAGGCUACCCAAAAUCAUCAGUGAAAUAUCUUGAUCACGUUUUUCUUAUAUGCCACAUGUUCAAUUUGCGCGUCGGUAGAUAUGAUCACACUUGCCCUCUUUACCCUUCUGUGGUGGCAUCACCAAAUACUCCCAAAAGUGUUUCUCAUUUAGGGCUUUGACAUAGAAGGUUCUAGUGUACAACAAACUAUGAUUAUCAUUAUGGAAGUCUUGUGAUGUAUUGUGACAUUUUGGAUUGUGCUGCCUCCACAAAAGCAGCGGAGGGCCUCACAAAAGGAGGCGGCAUUGUCAGCCGAAGGGCAAGAAUGAGAUGAAAUGCAAUUAUAUGCUGAAUGACAUUUUCUAACAACCUCGUCAUCUCUUGACAGUAUAGGUGUUAUUGUCUGGAGGCACUCCUAAAGGCGUCACACUAUUUAUGAACCUUUGUGGCCAUCUUCUGUCAAUCCAUAGCAGGAAUUUUCUUCAUCUAUGUGUGCAAGACUACGUAUUGUCAUUUACUAUAUUGACGUCACUGUUGGAAAAUUGGUUUUCUCUUUUCACAGCUUUUCUAAUCUCCAGCAAGAUGGAGUGUCUGUCACUGUCUGUUGCAAUUUUCGAAAUACUGUUUGUAUUGCUGUAUUCAUUUUACCUCCUCAACACUUGAUGCGCUUGAGUUAUCUUUUUAUGUAUGUACUGACAAUGUUCACCUCAGUGGCAGACCACACAUUUCGUACCCUUGGAGGGAUUGACCUGACAAAACUUGUUUUUCUAACACUACUAUCGCGUCACUAUUACACAAAUCAUCAAUACUAACCAAAAUGACAAUUUUGGGGUUUACAAAAAAAGGUUUGGAUUAUUCAGUGCAUUUUAGUGGACGUCAAUUGUAUGUAUAUUUUUGCACUUUUGCUCGAUCCCGAUCUGCUGAGAGUGGUGGGGUUCCACUGUUUUUGAGUUGUAAUAUCACCAUUCACCACUAGAUGGCACACAUGGCUUAGUUGCGCCAGCACCCAGUCGUAUACCACCCUAUAAUGUGAGUAGGCCUAAUCCUUUUUGUAGCUUUGGAAUAAUACGCAGGACCAACCUUGAUAAUAUUUAAAUGUUUUAUUUUUGAUUGCUUUUUGUAAAAAAAAAAAAAAGAAAUGCGCAAAAUGAGGUCUUUUAUUUAUUGUUGGUUUGUUGUUCGGGAGACUUGUGCCGUCCUUGAAUUGUAAUUUUUAUGCAAGACGGCACUGAAAAAAAAAAAAGACACUACGUGAUUAUUUUGUAUAUUGUGUCAAACCUUUUGUUGUUAAAGACUGGAUAUUUUUUCAUUUGUUUAAGAAUUUCAAUUAUGAAAAUUGAAAUAUAUUCAGAGCGCACAUUUUGUUCAUAUUGGAUUUUUUCGUCAUACUUCUGCUUAGGAAGUGUGGACCCCGGUAGCAAAGAAAUAUUAGCUAAUAAAUUGAGUUCAUAUUUUCAGAUUGUGUUAAGGUGUUGCUCUCCUUGCCCAUUCACCAUUGAUGCCCUUGGACCAGACUGUGUGCAUGAUGUCUGCAACGUGUUAGCAUGCGGCCCAGUGGAUUCCGACAUCCUCUUCUUCCGUGGUUUCAGCUAAAACAGCAACAACUAAUCAGGAUGUUCCGCAAUCAUCCAUUCCCAUCACUACCUGUGGUCCAUUUACACAUCUGCCAUGACAUUCAGCAUUUCAUCCUUGUACUGUAUCUUUUUUCUUUUUCCAUUUAAACAUCUACCAUGACAUUCAGCAUUUCACCCUUGAACUGCAUCUAUUUUUUUCCCCUCAAGGAUACUCACUGUCAUACUUUUCCGUACACCUGCACUGUCGGUAUGAAUGUGAAUUUGUGUGCUUGCGUUUACUCAGCUGUUCUGAUGGGCUGCUUGGUCAUGCAGAUUUGUUACAGAAAAAUCUUGAACCAGACAAAUUGGAUAGACAGAAAGAAAUAAGCAAAAAUGGUAUCAAAUUCAACUUUGGUGGAAUUGAGGCUUGGAUGUGCCCGGCUGCGACUGACAGGAAACCAGUCGAUAUAUCGAUGUUUAUUAUUAUUAUAAUUUGCAGCAGUGUAAAUUGUACUUAUAUAAAAAAAGUUGGGCAUCAUGUUUGUAAUUUUGUUGAGUUCUAUUGUGGUGCAGGUGUACCUAAUGUUGUGGCCAGUGAAGUGAUUGCCUUGCAGCUCUUUGCCACUGCAGAUCAAUAUUCCAAACAGUGGCUUCAAUUCUGGCUCCAGUACUGUAAACGAAAGUUAUUGUUCUCAUUUUGUGAAUGAGAACUUCUUCAAAUGAAGACUUUUGAACUAGUAGGCCAGACAGACUUGAAUCAUUAUAUUCUUUUUUUUAUUUAUUAAAAUCAUGUAAUUUCAAUUCAGGCAACUCAAAUAUAUGAGACUAGUCUUGCUCCUGUUCACCGUGAUUCAUUUCCCCCCUCUCAUGAGAUUAUCUUGGAUUUAUGUAUUUUAUGUCACCCAUUAAAUAAAUUAAUUAGGAACCAUUAAAUAAAUGCUGUGUUAUAGCAGGAGUUCAACUGAAACUAUACUUAAUAGCUAUCUUAUCCAUAAAAAGGUACUUUCCACCCCCGCUGUAACGUAAAGCCUUUUUUUACAUUUAGUUGGAUGGUUUUGAUCUGUAGAAGAUUGAUGGGAACAUCUUAUUCAAGUGUGUGUGUCCUCAUAUAAAACCUUGAAAUCAA